UACGUAGGGAGCAAGCGUUGUUCGGAUUUACUGGGCGUAAAGGGUGCGUAGGCGGCGUGAUAAGUCAUCUGUGAAAUCUCCGAGCUUAACUCGGAACGGUCAGAUGAUACUGUCUUGCUAGAGUGCAGGAAGGGCAAUCGGAAUUCUUGGUGUAGCGGUGAAAUGCGUAGAUAUCAAGAGGAACACCUGAGGCGAAGGCGGGUUGCUAGACUGACACUGACGCUGAUGCACGAAAGCUAGGGGAGCAAACAGG
rnacentral:rRNA from 1 species